AUCUGCCUUUGAGCGGGGGACAACAUUUGGAAACGAAUGCUAAUACCGCAUAACAACUUUAAACACAAGUUUUAAGUUUGAAAGAUGCAAUUGCAUCACUCAAAGAUGAUCCCGCGUUGUAUUAGCUAGUUGGUGAGGUAAAGGCUCACCAAGGCGAUGAUACAUAGCCGACCUGAGAGGGUGAUCGGCCACAUUGGGACUGAGACACGGCCCAAACUCCUACGGGAGGCAGCAGUAGGGAAUCUUCGGCAAUGGACGAAAGUCUGACCGAGCAACGCCGCGUGAGUGAAGAAGGUUUUCGGAUCGUAAAACUCUGUUGGUAGAGAAGAACGUUGGUGAGAGUGGAAAGCUCAUCAAGUGACGGUAACUACCCAGAAAGGGACGGCUAACUACGUGCCAGCAGCCGCGGUAAUACGUAGGUCCCGAGCGUUGUCCGGAUUUAUUGGGCGUAAAGCGAGCGCAGGUGGUUUAUUAAGUCUGGUGUAAAAGGCAGUGGCUCAACCAUUGUAUGCAUUGGAAACUGGUAGACUUGAGUGCAGGAGAGGAGAGUGGAAUUCCAUGUGUAGCGGUGAAAUGCGUAGAUAUAUGGAGGAACACCGGUGGCGAAAGCGGCUCUCUGGCCUGUAACUGACACUGAGGCUCGAAAGCGUGGGGAG
rnacentral:rRNA from 1 species